GAGACAGUUAAAAUUUUAAAGUAUGAUUUUUUUAUUAGCGUUUUUCCAACAGAUGUGUGGCUAACAGUUGACUAAAUCUACUUACUCUUCAUUCUGGGCACACAGCCAGACUACAUUUCCCAGUAUCCUUCGCAGUUACUGAAUACUUACCAAUGGACUGUGAGUGAAAGUGAGGUGUGCUAUUCUCAGUUAAAAUUUUAAAGUAUGAUUUUUUAUUAGCAUUUUUCCAGCAGGUGUGUGGCUAACAGUUGACUAAAUCUACUUACUCUUCGUUCUGGGCACACAGCCAGACUACAUUUCCCAGUAUCCUUUGCAGUUACUGAAUACUUGCCAAUGGACUGUGAGUGAAAGUGAGGUGUGUUAUUCUCAGUUAAAAUUUUAAAGUAUGAUUUUUUAUUAGCAUUUUUCCCACAGGUGUGUGGCUAACAGUUAACUAAAUCUACUUACUCUUCUUUCUGGGCACACAGCUAGACUGCAUUUGCCAGUAUCCUUUGCAGUUACUGAAUAUUUGCCAAUGGGCUGUGAGUGAAAGUGAGAUGUGCUAUUCUCAGGCUUGAAUGUAACAUAUUGCCCAUGGGUGCUAGACCCACCAUGCUCUUUCUUCUUCAGGAUUGAGACAGACAAACUUGGUAACCUGGGAAAUAAGGACUUGAAGAUCACAGAGACACAUGAAUCAACGGGCCCAAGUCCCUGAAUCACUUAUUGGAGAAGAGCUACUGGCAGAAUAAAACUAUCUAUUUGACAUUUAAAUAUAUGAGAAUAAACUUACCCUGUCUGAGUCACUAUAUACUUUGGAGUUUACUAGAGUAGUCAAAUAUGCUGUUUCUGAUUUCCAGACAACCUUUAAAUAUGAAAAGCUGCAGUCACCUGUUCUUCCUAAUUCCCUUUACUAUGGGUGUGCACAGUGCUUCUGUGAUUUGUCUGGUCUCUCUAACCACCUAGAUGUUCAGUAAUAGUUGUAAAGUGCCUUUUCUUACUGUCCUUUCAGAACAUGGACUGAGAGAGAUUUUAGGUUUCGGAAAAGCUCAGAACUUUUAGCACAUGUGUAUUAUAAAUUAAAUGACUGAUACCACAUUGGGGUGGCUUGAGUACCGGUGGAAGUUCUAUUUAAUGAUAGGUGUUACAAAAGAAUAUACAAAGGAAGGGCAAAUGAGAAUGCAAAAUGUACUCUCCUUCAUCUCACUGUAUCCCAGAACAAAAGGAAAAGUUCUGGGUCAUGAUCAAUAUUUGAACAUUAUUUCAAAAUAUAAACCCUUCUCUGACCAUCUUGCAGUAGUUACAUCGUUCCCGUAAUCUCUGCCCCAAAUGCUUCUCUUUGAUCUCUUUCUUCUCUCCUAACACUGACUUUUUCUUCAUGAGGUUGAGAGCUACUGAGACAAAUUGAAUAAAGGCAACAGUUUUCCAGUGUCGGAGAAACUCUAGCACACUGGAGUACAAGGAUUUCCUAGGACUGUGAGCAGGGGUACACUGUGCUGCCCACAAUGUUCAUGUUGGCGACCAUUAUGCUAUAUUCUUAAGGGGCUCUAGGAGUAUAAAGUUGACUCUCUUUGUCAACUUUGAAGUAGUAGUAAUAAAAGACUACAUUUUUUGGGGACCUUCAGAUGUGCUAGGCAUCAUCUCCAACAAUCCUAUAAAUUUGGUAUUAUUGUAAACAUAUAAUCAGAAUACAAUUACCCAUCAAUCAAAUAAAUGGUACAAAAGGUUGAGUAAUAUGACCGAUAUAUAAGUCUAACAGAACUUCGAAAACUUAUAUUAAAGGUUGUAUUAUUUCAGAUAAUCCUACAAAUGGGAAAGAAUAUACUGAAAAUAUACUCAUUGACAUAUUUGAUUACAUUUCCAAUUUAAUUAAACAAGAAUGCAAAAAAAGUAUUGGGUAUGGGUUGACCCCUUGGAGAAGAAGCAGAUGCAUGUAUCACAGCACCGCCUUCUUGGCCUGCACAAUAUCUAAUAGGUGCGGAUAGUGCUUGUGAUGCUGUUUGAGCAGGGAAGGGGUCUUUUGGGUAUGAGAAAUCCAUUUUUGCCAUGCCCAGGCCUUUUGUCAUCAGGGUAUAUAUCAGUAGUCAGAGAGAACUUAGGAAAAAAGCAAACAAGCUACACUUUUAAUCAAGUAUAUUUACACAUAUCCAAGAUGUUGCUUUCUACAUGAAGCAACAAGGUCAUAUCCUCAUAGAAAAUCUAUUUGCCUGCAGCCAGUCUCCUGCUUUGAUUUAAUUCUCUUAUUAGGGAUGUUUCUGAUACUGAAUACGGGGACCAUGUUCACACAGUAAUUUCACUGUAGUUCACACCUGAAUCUUGAUGGGGAGGCUGUGUGGUCAUUUCUGUAGCACCAUUGGUCAUAUAUUUGUGUUGUUGACAAUUUUGUACCCAUAAAAUAACUCACAUAUGAUUUUUAUCUAGGAUACUGUCUUAGUUCAAGCUGCUAGAACAAAAACAUCAUGGACAUGAUGACUUAAGCAACAGAAAUUUAUUUCUAACAGAUCUGGAGGCUGGUGAAAGAGGACACUGGAGGGGAUGCUGAAAAGAUCGGGAUCCAGGAGAAAGAAGGAGAAGUGGGAGCAGCAGAGGCCUGACAGACCCACAGAAUUGGACAGAGUGGCAGCUGUUCUCUGGGCAGGGCUGAGUGAAAAUGCCUGGAAAAGGAAGGGGGUGGAAGAAAUCCAAGGCCAUUUGUGCUGCUGGGAGUCGUCACCAGCGGGAGACCCAGCAGGCUGACUUCCCACUGCACUCUACAGGGAAACACAGAGAACAGGGGAAAGAGAGAAGGAAGAGAAGGCCCUGAAGUUAAACAGUGUGCAUUGCAAAGGGAUUUUCAUCAGGCAAAGGACUUUAGAUUUUAUCCUGUAAAGACUCACUGAAGAAUUUUAAGCAAAGGAGUGACACAAUCAGAUUGCCAGUUUAAAGAGUUAUCUGGAAUCAGUGUGGAGAAGAGUUUGGAGAAAGGGAAUAAAGAGGCAGGGAAAUCAGAGCUUCUGACAAAAACCUGAGGUUUGUCAAAGAUGUGGCAUACAUACACCAUGGAAUACUAUGCAGCCAUAAAAAAUGAUGAGUUCAUGUCCUUUGUAGGGACAUGGAUGAAAUUGGAAAUCAUCAUUCUCAGUAAACUAUCGCAGGGACAAAGGGCCAGGCACCGCAUGUUCUCACUCACAGGUGGGAAUUGAACAAUGAGAGCACAUGGACACAGGAAGAGGAACAUCACAGUCUGGGGACUGUUGUGGGGUGGGGGGAGGGGGGAGGGAUGGCAUUAGGAGAUAUACCUAAUGCUAAAUGAUGAGUUGAUGGGUGCAGCACCCCAGCAUGGCACAUGUAUACAUAUGUAACUAACCUGCACAUUGUGCACAAGUACCCUAAAACUUAAAGUAUAAUAAUAAUAAUUAAAAAAAAUUAGAGAGCUAGACAAAUGCAGAUUUCUUCUAAGUGAAAAAAAAACACAAAUGUAUGUUUUUAAAAAUUAAUCAUUGUUCACACUCUUCUGAGUGUUGGGCCCAUUUAAAAAUCUCUUUUUGUUUCUGUCCAUGGAUUAUUAAAGCAGCUGACUUUUAUUUUUAAUUCAUUAAUGUCUAGGAUGUUAAUCUCUUCUACCCA
rnacentral:lncRNA from 10 species